rnacentral:lncRNA from 1 species
UAAUUUUGGUACACUUAUACAUUUUUCCUAGUACUAUUUCCAUAAGUGAUAGAAAAAAUGUCAAAUAUAAGUGUAUCAAUUUGAGUGUAAGAGCUUGUGAGAUCUUCAAUUUUUCGAUUUUUAUGCGAUAGGACUAUUUGGAAAAGAUUUUGGUGGCUGGGACUGUAGUUGUUUUGACAUUAAUGGUGAUGAGGUAUAAGAUACAGGCAUCAAAGUGACAGUUAAGGAGGACUGUUUCCUAUUUCCUCAGUUUAAUCUUCUCAGGUGAGUUUGAAGGUGCCAAAUAACAUAGAUUCCAGGAUUUGGAAAGGCCACACAGGUGUACAGUGAAAUAAUGAAGGAUUUAAAAGUUGUGUUGGAGAGAAAUAGAGUGAGCACAGACAUAAGAUUUCAAGGAAUAAGGAGGAGUAAACCACAGUCAGUGCUACUGGCAACAAGAAAAGAUUGACUCAUGAUAUGAAAGUCCAAGCUGAAGGCGGAGAGGGAAGGCUCUAGAAAAAGCAAUGCAGAACGAAGAAGUCACAUCCGUCACUUUCAAGCCUAGGUGUAUGAGGUGUGGGGGAGGAAAGCACAGGCAUCCCUGAGAAGCCUGUUGGAGAAUCAGCAUCCUCAGGGGAGAUUCGAGUUUCAAUCGGAGCAAGAAGCAUCCCAGAGGCACUUUAACCAAACCCUGGAGAGAGAAGAAAUAAGGUUUGAAAACCACUAGACUACAUAUUUGGAUUAGACAGCUAUUGCUUAGAAUAGGACAGACUCUUUUCAAAGAGUGAUGUGUGAAUGAACUGUCUAGAGAUAUUAAAGUUAUAAAAGUAUAUUGGUUUAGGUUAUUGUUAGACAGCAGGCCU